AUCUCUCCCCAUCUCUCUCUUCUCAUAGCUGCCUCUGCCCUGUGCGUUGGCUCCCCUCCCCUCUGUCAUCCCCUUUCUGUUCCCACUUGCCCUCUGCUCAUCCCUGUCUCACGCAGGAACUGUUUAGACACAGGUUGCCAGGCUGGUCAGAGCCUAGGCUGGAGCUGCUGGGAGCCAUCAUUUUGCCAUAUGGUAAGACAACCUGCCUGAAAGCAAAGACGGGAGGAAAGGAGACCAAAGAUGCAGACAGUCAGAUUCCUGAUGUGACUGGGACACCAGGAUCCAGUCGUGCCUGAACCCCUCAUCCACACAAUUAAGUUUCUUUUCUGCUUAGGUCCUUUGAGUUUCUGUCAUUGGCAAUGAAAACAGUCCAGGCUUAAUUAGA